rnacentral:lncRNA from 1 species
GAUCACCACACAUUAACUACUGUAUUUCAUGAACGAUCUUACGCUCAGUCGAAUUUUUUUUUUUCUUGACAAAAAAGAAAAAAACUAUAAGAAAUUUGUAAUUCCUAUAAAAGAGAAUAAGAAAUUCCAGAUCCUCUUACUCAAGACAUGCACUUGGACCAUUAAAAUCCAAAACCCAAAGUUCCUCUCUCUCUCUCUC